AUCCAGGCUUCUGUCUGGUGCACUCGUCAGUCGUCGGGCCAGCAUCAGUUUGGGCGGUUGGAUAAAGGUCUCUGUCACGUACCUCCUCUCGGGGAGGCCUUAUAGGGGAGACGACAUGCAACCAGCCUGGACUGAGGUCCGCGCAUCUGCUAGGAUGCUGGCGUAAUGGCUGUAAGCGG
rnacentral:rRNA from 1 species